AACAAACACCCCCAGCGGCGCACGACCUUCCUUCCUCGAGCAGCGGCAGUGGAGCGGGGUGCAACGGGCUUGGCCUACGCCGACGGGCGGCGUGGUCCCUCUCCUCUAUCGAGUAGCGGCGGUGGCGCGGGACGCAGCGGGCUCGGCCUUCGUCGUCGGCGGCGGGGUCCCUCGACCAUCGGCGGCAGCGCCGAACACAAUAGGCGGCCAGGACGUGGCGGCGAAGCUGAGGGAGCCGUCCCUUGUGGCACGGGGGGCGUGACGGUGCCAUGGCGGCUCUGGGGUGGAGGGCGCGUGCGUGUAGGCGGCGCGUUCCUCCGGCUUCCGGCGUGCCGCAGCAUGGACUUCCCUGCUGUCGUCGUGCUCCCUGAUGCCAGCUCCUCCUUCCUCCCGCCGCUAGACAUGCACAACACCAUCCCAUGCCCUCUGCCCGCUGGCCAGAGAAAGGCAUUGGUGAGAAAUAUGGAAUGAUGCACGUGAACAGAUUGUCACUGCCAUCUCAUCCACUGCACUGAAGGAGAUCAAGCCCAUUUCCAUCAGCAUCAACUAGCACCUCUCCUUGACCUGCAUCCUUGUCCUUUGCUAAAUUGUGCAACCUAUUGCCGCUCUGCCAUGUGUCACAUGGCCAUCCUUCAUACACCGCUUCACUAGGACUAAGACCGAAGUGCAAAUGAUGAAAUUUCCAAAAGAAGUUGCCUCUUGUUUGGACACCGCGAAGUACGGGCUGGCAAGACUAAGAUUAGGCAAAGAGAGCUUCAGGAGGACCGAGUAUGACACCUCACUCGACGAUCUAUUCUUCAAGCAAGGAUGAAGAAGUUCCUCAUGAGACAUGACAUGAGAUUGGCACUGCUAUACUAAUUACAUUUAAGACCGUCGCCAACAAUGAGUUGGAUAUUAUAGUCAUUCUUUUAUGUCCUCUGAGAAGAUCAUGUUGGACGAGUUCCGGGCUUUAAUGAGUUAUUUAGUCAUUUCUCUUCGGGUUUUUUAAACCAUGGAGGAGAACUGCAUGUGAACUUCAUAGAUACGAGAAGAAAAGGAUAAAGGCAUGUACAAAGUUCAAUU